rnacentral:rRNA from 1 species
GGAUAACCUACCCUCAGGUGGGGGAUAACCCCGGGAAACUGGGGAUAAUACCCCAUAGACCAGGGACGCUGGAAUGCCCCCUGAUCGAAAGGUCCGCCGCCUGAGGAUGGGUCUGCGGCCGAUUAGGUUGUUGUUGGGGUAACGGCCCAACAAGCCUUUGAUCGGUACGGGUUGUGAGAGCAAGAGCCCGGAGAUGGAUUCUGAGACACAAAUCCAGGCCCUACGGGGCGCAGCAGGCGCGAAAACUUUACAAUGCGAGAAAUCGUGAUAAGGGAACCCCGAGUGCCCGUAAAUUCGGGCUGUCCAUCAGCGUAAAAAACUGGUGAAGAAAGGGCCGGGCAAGACCGGUGCCAGCCGCCGCGGUAAUACCGGCGGCUCGAGUGGUGGCCACUAUUACUGGGCUUAAAGCGUCCGUAGCUGGAUUGUUAAAGUCUCUUGGGAAAUCCGCCGGCUUAACCGGCGGGCGUUCAGGAGAAACUGGCAAUCUAGGGACC